GCGUUGGGGGUGUAAAAGAUAGAGCACGCGCCCCCUGAUUGGGCGCUAUGCGGGUUCAAAUCCCGCUCGACGCA